CCUACGGGGGGCUGCAGUGGGGAAUAUUGGACAAUGGGGGGAACCCUGAUCCAGCCAUGCCGCGUGUGUGAAGAAGGCCCUCGGGUUGUAAAGCACUUUCAGUGAGGAAUAACGCCUGGUGGUUAAUACCCAUCAGGAAAGACAUCACUCACAGAAGAAGCACCGGCUAACUCCGUGCCAGCAGCCGCGGUAAUACGGAGGGUGCGAGCGUUAAUCGGAAUUACUGGGCGUAAAGCGCGCGUAGGUGGCUUGAUAAGCCGGUUGUGAAAGCCCCGGGCUCAACCUGGGAACGGCAUCCGGAACUGUCAAGCUAGAGUGCAGGAGAGGAAGGUAGAAUUCCCGGUGUAGCGGUGAAAUGCGUAGAGAUCGGGAGGAAUACCAGUGGCGAAGGCGGCCUUCUGGACUGACACUGACACUGAGGUGCGAAAGCGUGGGUAGCAAACAGGAUUAGAUACCCUUGUAGUC
rnacentral:rRNA from 1 species